rnacentral:rRNA from 1 species
UACGUAGGGAGCGAGCGUUGUCCGGAUUUAUUGGGCGUAAAGGGCUAGUAGGCGGCUUAGCAAGUCGGGUGUGAAAACUUCAGGCUCAACCUGGAGCGGCCAUCCGAUACUGCUAUGGCUAGAGUCCGGUAGGGGACCACGGAAUUCCUGGUGUAGCGGUGAAAUGCGCAGAUAUCAGGAGGAACACCUGAGGCGAAGGCGGGCUACUGGGCUGAUACUGACGCUGAUGCGCGAAAGCCAGGGGAGCAAACGGG